AUUGAACGCUGGCGGUAUGCUUAACACAUGCAAGUCGAACGGUAACAGGCCUUCGGGCGCUGACGAGUGGCGGACGGUGAGUAACGCGUAGGAAUCUGCCUCAUAGUGGGGACAACGUGGGGAAACUCACGCUAAUACCGCAUACGCCCUACGGGGAAAGGCGGGGAGUCUUCGGACCUCGCGCUAUGAGAUGAGCCUGCGUUAGAUUAGCUAGUUGGUAGGGUAAAGGCCUACCAAGGCGACGAUCUAUAGCUGGUCUGAGAGGACGAUCAGCCACACUGGGACUGAGACACGGCCCAGACUCCUACGGGAGGCAGCAGUGGGGAAUAUUGGACAAUGGGCGCAAGCCUGAUCCAGCAAUACCGCGUGUGUGAAGAAGGCCUUAGGGUUGUAAAGCACUUUCAAUUGGGAGGAAAACCUGCCGGUCAAUACCCGGUAGCUUGACAUUACCUUUAGAAGAAGCACCGGCU
rnacentral:rRNA from 1 species